rnacentral:rRNA from 1 species
GAUGAACGCUGGCGGCGUGCCUAAUACACGCAAGUCGAGCGAACAGACGAGGAGCUUGCUCCUCUGACGUUAGCGGCGGACGGGUGAGUAACACGUGGAUAACCUACCUAUAAGACUGGGAUAACUUCGGGAAACCGGAGCUAAUACCGGAUAAUAUAUUGAACCGCAUGGUUCAAUAGUGAAAGACGGUUUUGCUGUCACUUAUAGAUGGAUCCGCGCCGCAUUAGCUAGUUGGUAAGGUAACGGCUUACCAAGGCAACGAUGCGUAGCCGACCUGAGAGGGUGAUCGGCCACACUGGAACUGAGACACGGUCCAGACUCCUACGGGAGGCAGCAGUAGGGAAGCUUCCGCAAUGGGCGAAAGCCUGACGGAGCAACGCCGCGUGAGUGAUGAAGGUCUUCGGAUCGUAAAACUCUGUUAUUAGGGAAGAACAAAUGUGUAAGUAACUAUGCACGUCUUGACGGUACCUAAUCAGAAAGCCACGGCUAACUACGU